UAUUUUGAACAGUUAUUCAUCAUUUCAAAAACCUUUUCAACUAUUAACUGGUUCCAGCCACUUUUAGGCUUCAGACUGUUUGUCAGACAAACCAACAUCAGAAGACAACACAGUGUGUUCUGGAAAAUUCUGAGCGACAAAAUAAUCAGCACAUUAAUUCAAAAAGAAAACAAUAGUUACUUCUUUGCAGAGUGGUGUGUGUUUAAAAAUGAACUGUUUGGUAAUAAAAUGCAGAGUAGGAAGUGUCGAGCUGAGUCUCAGGACCAGCACAGGAUGACCAGUACAUGUCUGAUCAGGUGAUAAGUUCUGCUUCUGAUCAAAGUGAAAUUGAACCUUGGUCAAAAGAAUUUUAUAUCAAAUUCCAAGUCAUUUUCAUAGGACCAAAAUUGUAGCAACAUAAAAAUGUACAUGAGAACUAUUUGAAGUAAGUGUCAUUGUCAUAUCUUUAUAACAUAGACACAGUUUUGUGUACAUAUGGCAGAGAAACAUACAUUUCAGGAUUACAUAUUUUUUGCCUCACUAUCUCCAUUAUUGAAUUGCUGAGUCUAUAGGAAGAAGCUUUCUGUUAUGUUGCGAUUCCACUUAGUUAUUGAAUUAUUAGUUAUUUCAAACAUAAUUGAAUAUAUCUUAUAAAAUGUAUAUCCACUGUAUUGAAUAUAACCUUUGUUAUUAUAUGGUGCUGAUCGUAAAGAAUGUAGCUGACAUUAAUGACCUAUUGUAAAUUGAACCCAGGAAAAACCCACGUAUUUCUUUAAUCCAACCAAUGUCUUCCAAGGGACAAUGGGUCGUCCCUUUCCUUUAGGUAACAUUCUGCCCUAAACCAUCACUGACCGUAUGUGUCUAUGAAGGGAACAUAGAUGGAUGUCACCACCAGUGUGUAUGAACUGAUAAGGACGUACGUGUGAUACAUGCAAAGCCACAAGGUUGCGAAAAGGCCUCAAGCUAGUAGUUCAAUAAUGAGUGUUUUUUUUUCUGUUAUGUAUUCUGCCCUCAUGUGAAAUGACGUGGGUGUAUCCCAGCUAAUGCAAGAGACAGAUCUCUUGAACUAAUCUAGCAAAACACAAAAAAAUAAUUAUGCCCGUGUGUAAUUGUUUUUUUUCUUCUGUUUUUUAGAUCUGGAGCCACAUCCGUGCACCAUCACAACAAAGUUGCAACAUGAUGAACAGCCAGGCCAUACAUACCCUCGUCGGCCCAGCGUUUCAAAGCAAGAUGCCUUUAUUCGACGGGACUACAGCAGCCACAGAUCUGUCAAAGCCGCAAAAUAUGUCUGGCUUCCUGGAUAAGCAGACGCUGCAGUACAGCGGGGCUUACUUAACAUAUGACCCCAGAGGAAAAGACGGAGCAGGAUUCACUCCACCUUGGAGCAGCUCAAAGACCUCGCUGCUGGAUGGCCGAAGUCCUAUGAGUCACCUCUCUGGCAUGGAGGGACAAAACCGCAUAUUUUACAGGCAAGACAGCAGUUCUCCAGAGGAACGCCAUUCUCAUUCUUCCUCCCUGUGCCACAGCCCAGUUAAACAGGGCUUUACCAUAUACACUAAAAGUCCAGAGAUGGGCAGCCCCACAGCUGUUGUGAGGAAACCAAAAAGCGGAGGUGAGAAUUCAUCUCCUCCAUCCGAAAACUCUGUUUACCUCGCAAUCCCGAAGCCAGUUUACAGACAUACCCCCUGCUGUAACGAGCUGGGCUGCGUGAUAGGGCACCGAUACAGCGUGGAGCAUGGCUCUCCGAGGAUACCAAACCCUGUAUACAAGCACGACUGGAUGCAAAGUGAUGCUCACUACGCUGAAAGACCAGCUGUCCAGAGAAAGACACAAGACGUGCUGCUGCAGCAGAGAGGCUUACAGUUUGAUCCCAGUGCUGAACCACUGAAGAGGAUCAGUGUGGAGACGUACAGUCCAAGUGCAGGGAGGACAUUGCCUGCUGUGAUUGACCCCAACUACAGCAGUUACCCCUGCACCCCGACUCGCACUCUGUUUGGUUCUUUAAGCGAGCAGAGCCAACGGUUACAGUCUUCCCCUAGAGGCUACCCCAGCCAAUACCCCUCCCAUCCUCCAUACGAGCAUAUGACCUCAGAGGUUUAUCAGGAACGCUCUCCCAUGUCCAAAUAUGGUCAGAUAACACAUCACCCAGUGUUUUACUACCCCCACACAAAUGAGGAGGUACAAAACAGCACACGGUGUAAAAACAUGGGCAGUAAGCAGAGAGAUGUCCCUGUUAUUCUCAAACACACGAGCUCGAACCCCAGGGAGCAUUACAUCGUGGCUCAGUCACUUAAUGGUGAAAUUCCUUUGCCUAGCACUGAAACAUUACCAAAUCAUUCCUUCAUGCAGGGCUUCGAAUAUCCGUGUUAUGCAGUCCCUAGAUUUAAUGUAAACGCAAGCCAUAUCAGAGUGCCCCAAAAAAGGCCACAUGCAUCGCCUAGUUUUCACAGUAAUGGCAUAAAUCUGUCCCCAACCAGACAAUAUAUGAAUCACCCCUUAACCUCUGCAGCCAACCCACAUAAGGACAAUCCCAACAGCAGCCUGCAUGUUGCCCAGUCACAAAUCCACUCACCGUACCGUGGCGUGGAUCUAACCAGUCCCACCAGGUGUCGGAGCCAACUUGGCCUCUCGCUUCCCAUGAUAAAUGUGAACAGACCUUUCCCCCCGCUCUCCAGCUGGCACAUGGACCCACACCUCCUUUCACCUGGUGGCUUGAAAAGACUCAUGGACUAUUCCUCGUGCGAAGCCCAGGCGACGCAGCAUCCUAUUUCCACGGCGACAUGGCUGCCCCAGUCUCCCAGUCACAGCGCUGAUCGCAUCCAAGCAGCUGUAACCAAUAGUGCCAAUGUCAGAACAAUUGUUUAUUCCCCUGCCAAUGCAGCAGGAAAUAAGGACAACGCCCACACGUCUACUUCAGGCAGCUCGGUUCUUAAAGGUUGCCUGAAGAGAAGCAUAUCUCAUCCAUCGCCACCUGUCAAAAUAAAAGAAGAGGGUAGGGAUUUAUGUGAGGUGGGACUCAUGAAGAAACGACAAAGGAUGGAAAUGGAGAACGUACAAGCAGGAAAUAAGACGUUCUCUCCUCCUAUGCCUGUCAUUGACAAUGUCUUCAGCCUGGCACCGUACCAAGCGUACCUGCAUGUCUCUAAAGUGCUAUUUCCUGUGAGAAGCGUCCAGUCCUCCGAGCCCAAGCCAGACUUCAGAGCAAAAAAGUCAGAUGGAGACGAACAGCGGCCUGUUGUCUGUCCCGUUCCCAAAAAAAUCUGUCCAGAUACACGUACAGGGAAGCCCGUAGUUGAAACCUUUGAACAGAAAGAUAUUAAAGUGGAACAAGUCGAUCCAUCGUACACAGUAGAGUUACCUGUUCGUCAGAAGGACUGCAUCAAAUUCACAAUCAAACAAGAGCCUGAAGAGGCUGAUUCUUCUUCUGACUGUGGGCACAUGUUGGUGAUAAAGAAAUGUGAACCAGGUGAACCCAAAAUUGAAGCCUCGAUUGCAGAUGAAAACAAGACUUCAGAUGAGUCAAAAACCGUUGAGUUGAGUCGACCGACGAGAUCGUAUUCUGAGGGUGAUGCAAGCACGCUGAAGGAGCAGGUGUCCACUCUUCAAUCCAAAUCCACUACUCCACCUCAGCCACCUGAGAGCAAGCUCAAUUUCAAAAACAUUCCUCCCCAGUGUUUAAAACUUUCCAGCUACAGAAUCAUUCUCCCUGAUAUGAAACAUUCCAUCCCUGCUCCACCACCUGAGAAACCACCUGCACAGCCAGAAACUGAAAUGAUUCCAAAACAAGAUCCCCAAGUGCCGGUCCGCAAGCGUUUCUUUGAGUUACAUCACUCCCUCUGCAAGCUAAUAUCAAAAUCUGUGUCAGCCUCUUCAGAACAGGAUCUCAGAACCUGGUUGUCCCAGUUGCCGCUGACGGAGCCUGCAGCCACUUCUACCAAAGUCCAGAAAGUGUCGUGUCUGUUGGGUGCGAGAGCCCGAGAGGUGUGGCUCAACGAGGAGAUGAAGUCGGCUCUCCACGAGGUCCUGGAGAGGCUGAAGGAGUACACCACCCAGGAGCUCUGUCCUUUUCCGCACGUCAUGCGGACGGGGGCGGUGUUCCUGCCCAUGCUGGUGAUGAAGGAGCUGCUGUUCCCGAUGGUCCAGGUCAGCUUCAUCGACCAGGUCAUGCACGAGCACAAAGUGGCUCUUCGGCCCACGACGCUGUCCGAAGAGAAGAUCCUCAUCCAGCUUCACAAACGGGCCUGCUCCUCCCGCCUCAGGAGGCUGAUGUCCCUCAAACACUUGCCCGACAUCUAUGCCGACGUGGUCAACCUCUUGUAUUACGCUUGUGUCUGCAAACACCUGGGUAAGUGCAUCUCAGAGUUACUGAAUUUCUUCCUAUUAAACAAAAAAAAAAAAAAAGGAAUGGCAGUUUCGAAUGGUCUUUUUGAAAAAUAUAUUUGUCCAUUUUCCAUAUUAAUGUCACUCUGGGAUGUAAAAAUGCCAUUUAGUCUCUUGGUACUGUCAAGCCACACACAGGAGACACAACGAGCAACAGUUGUGUUAAUUACCCCUCCUGGGAUGUCCUGGACACCAACCACCAAUGACGCACACUGAAGCAAACAAAUGCUGGUAAAGGAGCCAGGAAAUAAAAGAGAAUAAACAUUUACUUAACUGACACAAAUAACUUUUUUUUAACUACAAUUUGACUACUCCUGCUUUUCAGUGUUGAGACUGCAACUGAUUUUGUCAGUAAAGUACCGUUUAUUAGUCUGGCAGUCAUAAAAAUCGAAGUCAUGAGUGAAAAGUUCAGUCUGUUGUUCUCAAUGUUGCUAAUAAUGGAUCACAAGACACAUCGAAAUGAUUCAUAUGAUGCUGUUUCACGUACAAAUCCUUGUUUCCUGACACGUGUUUCUUUUAGUGUGAUCAUUUGUUGCACUGUGUGUAACAUGACGGCCAAAACUACGGCGCGUCCUGCCUUCCCCUGCACAUAUUUGGAAAUCCCCUUUGGGUGUGAUUUAGAGAUUUGCCUGGAUUUUAGAAUAAAACAUUUUGACAGCAAGCUGUAUCUAGUUUUCCUUCAAGCUGCCUUUUAGUCAUAUUUUCUGCAUUACUGGCCAUUUCUUGUAAAGAACAGAGCAACAUAUUCAUUCAAUACAUAUAUAUAUUCAAUAUAAAAUCCAUUUAUUUUUUACAGAAUCAACUUCACCUGACGUCCAAAAGAGAGUCCAGGAUUAGAUAUGGACGAUCCUGCUAACGGGGAGAAAGACGACGGUAGUGAGGAGGCCCCAGUGUUUUCAGACAUCAGCACUUCACCGGUCUCACCCCCAGAGUCACGCCCCCAGAGAAACCCAAAGGACGUGGAAAUGAAACCACAUUUGAACACUAACACAGCAAAAAGCAGGGUAAAGAGCAGCUCCAGGCGCAGGUUUCUGGACAACAGCUUUUCAGAUGAGGAAGAAGCAGGCGACUCAGUAGAGAAUGUAAGAAUAGAAGAAUGCAAGAAACACUUGAGAGCCAGUCCGUCUGACGAGAGUAAGGACAGAGGAAGUGACGCUGUGGUUGCAGAGCCGGAUUCUUCACUAAUUCCACUGAGUCCACCGUCUGAGAAUUCAUGGAUGUGUCCUUUAACCUUGGACGAGCUUUCUAUGUCUCCCACUGACACGGAAACGGAGCAAUACUCCGUUCUGCAGCCUGCUCAUAAGUCUUUAGUUCCAGCCAAGGCUCAGGUCAGAUCUAAGACUUGCUCAGGUGUGAUUCUCAAACUGAGAAGGAUGUUUAGCGAAGGUCUCAACAGAAAAAAGGCCCGCUACCAAGCGGUGUCAGACUCUGGGACAUUGGAUAAUCCUUCCCUCUCAAAAAACAAGGGUUUGGAGGGAGACGAGAGGACGCCCCAAGCGACCCACAAGUCGAGGAGAACUGGUGGCUUCGCUCACGCCUUAAGACCCCUCCGCAGCUCUUCCAAAAGAAAACACAGAUCCCUCUUGAAGAUCAAAUACUGUCCCUACUUGUCUGCCUGCCACAGCGCUGAGCACAGGAGGCGAUGGGUGCUGCGUUCGGCCGUGCACAGGGCUCAGAGGGCCUACUACCCAGACCUGGUGGGAAAGAGAAUCCGCCAUCUGUAUGAAGAAGACGACAAAUCCGAAGUGUGGUAUAGAGGAGAGGUGCUGCGUGUCCAUGAGGCCAACACGAACCCUCUGAAGACUAUAUUUGAGGUCAGGUAUGACAGCGAGCCAGAGUGGAAGUACUACUUAGAACUGCUGAUAGACUAUAAAAAAGGCUGGUUAAAAAUUGACUAGUUCUGUCAUACAAAUGUCACUGUGCCAGUUUUGUUUUGGUGAUUGUGCAGAUUGAAAUUGGUUUGUUCGCUGAUGGGCCUUAAAUUAUCUUCCUUAUUGGCUUCGUGAAUAAUGAAGUUGGACUGGAUUCUUUUUUUUGGUAUGUCAGCUUUGUCACUUUUGAGCCACAGGGCACAUUCUUCUUUAAAGACGUAUGUAGCAUCAUGUUCCUAAACUCUUAUCAUUGACCGGUGUCUCUGGUUUAUUAACUAAUAAGUUUGUCACAGAAAUGGCAGCAGCCAUAAUGAAAAAAACUAAAAACAUACAUCCCUUAUUCAAAAAAAAUGUAUAUAAAAAAGUAGGCAUAUGUGAAGUUUUGCAUAUGACUUAAGUCAUAGAUACCAACUCCACCUCUUUAAAUAAAAAAAGAAGUGGAGAUAGUAUCUCCCUUUUGUGCUAGUGCGACAGACACCAGCAAAUUCACUGUCAGACAGUGCGAGCCAUGUGUUUAUGGGUUUACAGUAAUAGUGCCAGUGUUGUAUGUCGUGAUAGCAGAGGGCCUUUGUUGUUUUACCCUGAUGAUUGUGGUUAUGUGCGUUACUGAGGCUGGACGGACUUUCACAUAUUCUGUACUGAUCUGCUCAAGUUGUCUUUGUCGACACGCAGGCUGCUGAGAUGUUAUGUCGCAGUGUUUUUAAUCACUGUGAACCUGAAGUCUUCACUUUAUUUUAUUUUGAAUUUUUGUAUCAUUUUAUAAGACUUGUGCAGACUGAAUUGUUAUAUUUCUUUCACUGUUGUGAUAAAUAAACGGAGUGAUUCCA